rnacentral:tRNA from 1 species
GGGCCCGAAGUUUAACUGGUUGAACGCUACAUUUGCAAUGUAGAGGUAGGGAGUUCGACCCUCCCCGGGUCCA